UGAAACGCGACUGUGUGAUGGCACCCGGCACGCUGAAGAUGCUUUGGAAAUGCGGGAUGGGUCAGAAUCUUAAGUGCUCGGAGUCUGGUGGCCGGGGGCCUCACCCAGCAGGAGGACACAAUGGAGACAGCCUCCCUGGGUCAUACAGUGGGCUGCACGCAGGUGCAGGCAGGGGAGCCAGGCCUGAGGCUAGGUAAGAGGCAGCACUAGGACCCAGGGGCCACGUAUGCAGCAGGCUCCGCCGGAUAAGUUCUCAGCCAGAACACAAUGUUCUCAGUGUACCCACAGGAAACCCUGAAGAAGAGAACUGCACAUGGCCUCUGCUGGUGCAGAAGGCAGACACUGGGGACAAAGUUGUAUUUCUGCCAUGGCAAGGAUCUUGGCCCACAGGCAAAGGAAACAGCUGAUGCCUCAUACCACCACCUCCCUUCCUCUCUGAAGGCCGGGUCCCACCUGGGACAGGGGAGGGCCUCCGUCGCUGCUGCCUGAAUCAGAGGGAACUUGGAGCUGCCUGGGGGAUCAGCGCCAAGUUUGGAGCAGAACAUCCUAUGAUGUGGUUCCUAGUUUUUAUUUCCACGAAUGCUAUAAUAUGUUGUCCCACCGAGCUAUUUUUAUUGAAUGGAAAAAAAAAAAAAAGCAAACCUCUGCAAAACCAGCAGUCCUCUGUUAGACGGAAGGACAAGGUGAACUUUUCACUUCCUUCCCUGCAGCCUAUCAACUCAGUCCGUGGUUUGGUGUCACCCACACUCUGUGCUAUAUUCAAUCUCAAUUUUUGCCUCCUUGUUUUUGAAGCUGCAGGAGCAAGGCUCUAAACCUAUGUUUCUCCUGCUAGUUGCAUGAGGCUUUUAGAAGUGCCUUUUUGGUGAAUUCUCACAACAGCAAAAUAGAGAUCUAUCAGCUGCUUGCCAGCUGCAGGCAAAGGUGGGUCUGAAGAGAGUGAACAAGGAGGGGAACCUUGAGAAACCCAGCACAAUCCCAGCCAACUUCUGGCAAACUGCACUGUUGGGAGCUCCGCACAGGCUGCAUUCCUGCCACGUUAAUGAGAGGCCUGGCCAUUGAAAAUAAGACCCAAGCCGGAGGGGGUGGCUCAUGCCUGUAAUCCCAGCACUUUGGGAGGCUGAGGCAGACGGAGGACCUGAUGUCGGGAGUUUGAGACCAGCCUGACCAACAUAGAGAAACCCCAUCUCUACUAAAAAAAUGCAAAAAUUAGCUGGGCAUGGUGGUGCAUGCCCGUAAUCCCAGCUACUCGGGAGGCUGAGGCAGGAAAAUCGCUUGAACCCGGGAGGCGGAGGUUGCAGUGAGCCGAGAUCACACCACUGCCCUCCAGCCUGGGCAAGAAGAGUGAAACUCCGUCUCAAAGAAAAUAAGACCCAGUGCCUCUAUGAAGCUCCAUGAAUAAGGCUCCUUCUACCCUGGCAUUGCAGAGUCCCUUUCCAGAUGUUGGUUGGUAAAAGGGUUUUCAUGUGUCCUAGGCCUGUAGAUUCAACUGGGUGCUUCCUAGACUGGCCCAAGCUCAGGGAUUCCCUUCUUGGAGAAGAGGUUUCCAAAAGCAGGCAAUACUGCUACUCCUGGGGAAGUCUGCUGAAGGCUGGGGGCCCCAAAAGACCUGUGUUCCGAUCUUGGUUUUGUCAACUUGAUGGAGCCUGUGCAAAUCACUUUCCCACUCAAAUAUUUUCAUAACUUUGUCAAUAAAAAUAACAGCUGGAGGCUGAGCACGGUGGCUCACACCUGUAAUCUCAGCAUUUUGGUAGACUGAGGAGGGGGGAUUACUUGAGGUCAGGAGUUCGAGACCAGUCUGGCCAACAUGGUGAAACCCCAUCUCUACUAACAACACAAAAAUUAGCCAGGUGUGGUGACACAUACCUGUAAUCCCAGCUACUUGGGAGGCUGAGGCAGGAGAAUUACUUGAACUUGGGAGGCAGAGGUUGCAGUGGGCUGAGGUAACGCCCCUGGACUCCAGCCUGGGCGACAGAGCGAGACUCCAUCUCAAAAAAUAAAUAGCUGGGCGCAGUGGCUCACGCCUGUAAUCCCAGCACUUUGGGAGGCCGAGGCGAGUGGAUCACCUGAGGUUGGGAGUUGGAGCCCAGCCUGACCAACAUGGUGAAACCCUGUCUCUACUAAAAAUACAAAAUUAGCUGGGCAUGUUGGUGCAUGCCUGUAAUCCUAGCUACUCAGGAGGCUGAGGCAGGAGAAUCACUUGAACCCAGGAGGUGGAGGUUGCGGUGAGCCAAGAUUGCACCAUUGCACUCAGCCUGGGCAACAAGAGCG
rnacentral:lncRNA from 10 species